rnacentral:hammerhead_ribozyme from 1 species
AUUCAGCUAAAGAGUCCCAAAUAAGACGAAACGCGUAUUCUAAAU